ACGAUGGUGGUGGUACUGCUACGGACACUGCUCUUGACAAAGCACGUACCAGUGUCUUUACAAAUACAACAAGAAAAUCUGCUGCUUCCAAAGUUUUAGUUUUGGUAACUGAUGGACAGUCAAAUAAUGAAAAUAAAACAGUAGCGGCAGCUCAAGAACUGAAAGAUGAUGGCGUCACUAUAUUUACGAUUGGUGUUGUCAAUCCAAGAGUGUCUGAGUUAACUGCGGCAGCAAGUGAACCCAGUUGUACACAUUUCAUCAACUUGAAAGAUUAUAAUGAGAUUGAUUUUAUCGUGAGGGAAAUUGAAUCUGGAUCUUGUAAAGCUCCCACCGAAGUUCCUGAAGACACUCAGUUAGUCAAUAACACCAUUCCAAAAACUAAUGAGACAAAACAACAAAUCCUGCAGGUCGCCAACACGACAAAGUCCACCUUGGGUACAACAGUUCUGGUAAAUGUCCAGUGUGGUGUGGUCAUUGUGUACGCUUCAUUUAGCAACAGUUAUCCCAAUGAAGCCGACUACGACUACAAGACUUUGGCAACUGACCAUCAGCCGGGCAAAUUAUUUCUUUUGCCAAAAUCAGA